UACAGAGGUCUCAAGCGUUGUUCGGAUUCAUUGGGCGUAAAGGGUGCGUAGGCGGCGCGGUAAGUCGGGUGUGAAAUUUCGAGGCUUAACUUCGAAACUGCAUUCGAUACUGCCGUGCUUGAGGACUGGAGAGGAGACUGGAAUUUACGGUGUAGCGGUGAAAUGCGUAGAUAUCGUAAGGAAGACCAGUGGCGAAGGCGGAUCUCUGGACAGUUCCUGACGCUGAGGCACGAAGGCCAGGGAGCAAACGGG
rnacentral:rRNA from 1 species